CCUACGGGGGGCUGCAGUGGGGAAUAUUGCACAAUGGGGGAAACCCUGAUGCAGCGACGCCGCGUGAGUGAAGAAGUAAUUCGUUAUGUAAAGCUCUAUCAGCAGGGAAGAAAAUGACGGUACCUGAGUAAGAAGCCCCGGCUAACUACGUGCCAGCAGCCGCGGUAAUACGUAGGGGGCAAGCGUUAGCCGGAUGUACUGGGUGGAAAGGGAGCGUAGACGGCCGUGCAAGUCUGGAGUGAAAGGCGGGGGCUCAACCCCCGGACUGCUCUGGAAACUGUACGGCUGGAGUGCAGGAGUGGUAAGUGGAAUUCCUGGUGUAGCGGUGAACUGCGUAGAUAUUAGGCGUAACACCCGUGGCGACGGCGGCUUACUGGACUGUAACUGACGUUGAGGCUCGACAGCGUGGGGAGCAAACAGGAUUAGAUACCCGAGUAGUC
rnacentral:rRNA from 1 species